AAAGGAAUAGACGGGGACCCGCACAAGCAGUGGAGUAUGUGGUUUAAUUCGAUGCAACGCGAAGAACCUUACCAGGACUUGACAUCCAUGGAACCUGUAUGAAAGUACGGGGUGUCUUUUAUAAGAAGCCAUGAGACAGGUGGUGCAUGGUUGUCGUCAGCUCGUGUCGUGAGAUGUUGGGUUAAGUCCCGCAACGAGCGCAACCCUUGCCUUCAGUUACUACGCAAGAGGACUCUGGAGGGACUGCCGUUGAGAAAACGGAGGAAGGUGGGGACGACGUCAAAUCAUCAUGCCCUUUAUGUUCUGGGCUACACACGUACUACAAUGGCCGAAGUACAGAGGGAAGCAAAGCUGUGAAGCAGAGCAAAACCCUAAAAGCGGUCCCAGUUCGGAUUGCAGGCUGCAACUCGCCUGCAUGAAGUUGGAAUUGCUAGUAAUCGCGAAUCAUCAUGUCGCGGUGAAUACGUUCCCGGGUCUUGUACACACCGCCCGU
rnacentral:rRNA from 1 species